rnacentral:rRNA from 1 species
UGGGGGAUAUUGCACAAUGGGCGAAAGCCUGAUGCAGCGACGCCGCGUGGGGGAUGAAGGCUUUCGGGUUGUAAACCUCUUUCGCUAUCGAACAAGGCCCGCUUAGGGUGGGUUGAGGGUAGGUGGAGAAGAAGCGCCGGCUAACUACGUGCCAGCAGCCGCGGUAAUACGUAGGGCGCGAGCGUUGUCCGGAAUUAUUGGGCGUAAAGGGCUUGUAGGCGGCUUGUUGCGCCUGCUGUGAAAACGCGGGGCUUAACUUCGCGCGUGCAGUGGGUACGGGCAGGCUUGAGUGUGGUAGGGGUGACUGGAAUUCCAGGUGUAGCGGUGGAAUGCGCAGAUAUCUGGAGGAACACCGAUGGCUAAGGCAGGUCACUGGGCCAUUACUGACGCUGAGGAGCGAAAGCAUGGGUAGCGAACAGG